rnacentral:guide_RNA from 1 species
AAAUUAACAAAUAGACUACUAAUGGGUGAGUAAGAUGUAUUAAUUAAUU